rnacentral:rRNA from 1 species
AUACGGAGGGUGCAAGCGUUGUUCGGAAUCACUGGGCGUAAAGGGCGCGCAGGCGGUUUGGUAAGUCAGAUGUGAAAGCCCACGGCCCAACCGUGGAAGUGCAUUUGAAACUGCCAGACUUGAGUACCAGAGGGGAAAGUGGAAUUCCCGGUGUGGAGGUGAAAUUCGUAGAUAUCGGGAGGAAUACCGGUGGCGAAGGCGACUUUCUGGCUGGAUACUGACGCUGAGGCGCGAAAGCGUGGGGAGCAAACAGGAUUAGAAACCCGAGUAGUCC